rnacentral:rRNA from 1 species
UACGUAGGGGGCGAGCGUUGUCCGGAAUCAUUGGGCGUAAAGCGCGUGUAGGCGGUUCGGUAAGUCCGCUGUGAAAGUCGGGGGCUCAACCCUCGAAUGCCGGUGGAUACUGUCGGGCUUGAGUACGGAAGAGGCGAGUGGAAUUCCUGGUGUAGCGGUGAAAUGCGCAGAUAUCAGGAGGAACACCAAUUGCGAAGGCAGCGCGCUGGGACGUUACUGACGCUGAGACGCGAAAGCGUGGGGAGCAAACAGG